GACGAACGCUGGCGGUGUGCUUAACACAUGCAAGUCGAACGGUAAGGCCCUUUCGGGGGUACACGAGUGGCGCACGGGUGAGUAACACGUGAGUAACCUGCCCUCAUCUCUGGGAUAACAGUCGGAAACGGUUGCUAAUACUGGAUAUGAGCUUGCAAGGCAUCUUGUGGGUUGGAAAGAUUUUUUUUGGUUGGGGAUGGACUCGCGGCCUAUCAGCUUGUUGGUGAGGUAGUGGCUCACCAAGGCUUCGACGGGUAGCCGGCCUGAGAGGGCGACCGGCCACAUUGGGACUGAGAGACGGCCCAAACUCCGACGGGAGGCAGCAGUGGGGAAUAUUGCACAAUGGACGGAAGUCUGAUGCAGCAACGCCGCGUGCGGGAUGACGGCCUUCGGGUUGUAAACCGCUUUCAAUUGUGACGAAGCGUUUUUGUGACGGUAGCAGUAGAAGAAGCACCGGCUAACUACGUG
rnacentral:rRNA from 1 species